rnacentral:rRNA from 1 species
ACGAACGCUGGCGGCGUGCUUAACACAUGCAAGUCGAACGGAAAGGCCCUGCUUUUGUGGGGUGCUCGAGUGGCGAACGGGUGAGUAACACGUGAGUAACCUGCCCUUGACUUUGGGAUAACUUCAGGAAACUGGGGCUAAUACCGGAUAGGAGCUCCUGCUGCAUGGUGGGGGUUGGAAAGUUUCGGCGGUUGGGGAUGGACUCGCGGCUUAUCAGCUUGUUGGUGGGGUAGUGGCUUACCAAGGCUUUGACGGGUAGCCGGCCUGAGAGGGUGACCGGCCACAUUGGGACUGAGAUACGGCCCAGACUCCUACGGGAGGCAGCAGUGGGGAAUAUUGCACAAUGGGCGGAAGCCUGAUGCAGCAACGCCGCGUGCGGGAUGACGGCCUUCGGGUUGUAAACCGCUUUCGCCUGUGACGAAGCGUGAGUAACGGUAAUGGGUAAAGAAGCACCGGCUAACUACGUG